rnacentral:tRNA from 1 species
GCCUAGUGGUUAAGGCUAUGGAUCGCCAACCCAGAGACGGCGGGUUCGAUUCCCGU